rnacentral:rRNA from 1 species
GAUGAACGCUGGCGGCAUGCCUAACACAUGCAAGUCGAGCGGCAGCGAGGGGUGCUUGCACCCUGUCGGCGAGCGGCGGACGGCUGAGUAACGCGUGGGAACGUGCCCCAAAGUGAGGAAUAACUGCCCGAAAGGGUAGCUAAUACCGCAUAUUAUCUUCGGAUCAAAGGAUUUAUCCGCUUUGGGAGCGGCUCGCGUCGGAUUAGGUAGUUGGUGAGGUAAUGGCUCACCAAGCCGACGAUCCGUAGCUGGUCUGAGAGGAUGACCAGCCAGACUGGAACUGAGACACGGUCCAGACUCCUACGGGAGGCAGCAGUGAGGAAUCUUACACAAGGGGCGAAAGCCUGAUGGAGCAACGCCGCGUGCAGGACGAAGGCCUUCGGGUUGUAAACUGCUUUUAGAAGUGAGGAAUAUGACGGUAACUGAUGAAUAAGGAUCGGCUAACUACGUG